AGCAGCCGCGGUAAUUCCAGCUCCAAUAGCGUAUAUUAAAGUUGUUGCAGUUAAAAAGCUCGUAGUUGAAUUUCGGGGUUAGUAGGUUGGUCAUGCCUCUGGUAUGUACUGGUCUCACUGAUUCCUCCUUCCUGAUGAGCCGUAAUGCCAUUAAUUUGGUGUUGCGGGGAAUUUGGACUGUUACUUUGAAAAAAUUAGAGUGUUUAAAGCAAGCUAACGCUUGAAUACAUUAGCAUGGAAUAAUGAAAUAGGACGUUCGAUCCUAUUUUGUUGGUUUCUAGGAUUGACGUAAUGAUUAAUAGGGAUAGUUGGGGGCAUUAGUAUUCAAUUGUCAGAGGUGAAAUUCUUGGAUUUAUUGAAGACUAACUACUGCGAAAGCAUUUGCCAAGGAUGUUUUCAUUAAUCAAGAACGAAAGUUAGGGAUCGAAGACGAUCAGAUACCGUCGUAGUCUUAACCAUAAACUAUGCCGACUCGGGAUCGGAUGUAUGUUAUUUUUUAAUGUACUCAUUCGGCGUCCGU
rnacentral:rRNA from 1 species